rnacentral:rRNA from 1 species
CUGCUGCCUUCCGUAGGAGUUUGGGCCGUGUCUCAGUCCCAAUGUGGCCGCCCACCCUCUCAGGCCGGCUACUGAUCGUCGGUUUGGUGGGCCUUUACCCCGCCAACUGCCUAAUCAGACGCGGACCCAUCCCAUACCACCGGAGUUUUUCACACCGUACGAUGCCGUACCGUGCGCUUAUGCGGUAUUACCAGCCGUUUCCAGCUGCUAUCCCCCUGUAUGGGCCAGGUUAUCCACGCGUUACUCACCCGUCCGCCACUAAGAUAAGAAAAG